rnacentral:rRNA from 1 species
UACGUAGGGUGCAAGCGUUGUCCGGAAUUAUUGGGCGUAAAGAGCUCGUAGGCGGUUUGUUGCGUCGGCUGUGAAAUCCCGAGGCUCAACCUCGGGUCUGCAGUCGAUACGAGCAAACUAGAGUGUUGCAGGGGAGACUGGAAUUCCUGGUGUAGCGGUGAAAUGCGCAGAGUAUCAGGAGGAACACCGGUGGCGAAGGCGGGGUCUCUGGGCAACAACUGACGCUGGAGGAGCGAAAGCGUCGGGGAGCGAACAGG